rnacentral:rRNA from 1 species
GUGCAGCAGGCGCGAAUACUUCACGAUGUGCGAAAGCACGAUGAGGGAAUCCCAAGUGCUUGCACGUAAGUGUAAGCUGUUUCUCUGUCUAAAACGCAGAGAGAGUAAGGGCUGGGUAAGACGGGUGCCAGCCGCCGCGGUAAUACCUGCAGCUCGAGUGGUGACCGUUAUUAUUGGGCCUAAAACGUCCGUAGCCGGUUUAAUAAAUGCCUGGGUAAAUCGGACCGCUUAACGGUCCGAAUUCCGGGUAGACUGUUAAACUUGAGACCGGGAGAAGUUAGAGGUACUCCUGGGGUAGAGGUGAAAUUCUGUAAUCCUAGGGGGACCACCAGUGGCGAAGGCGUCUAACUAGAACGGGUCUGACGGUGAGGGACGAAGCCC